rnacentral:rRNA from 1 species
UACGGGGGGGGCAAGCGUUGUUCGGAAUUACUGGGCGUAAAGGGCUCGUAGGCGGCCAACUAAGUCCGACGUGAAAUCCCCAGGCUUAACCUGGGAACUGCGUCGGAUACUGGAUGGCUUGAAUCCGGGAGAGGGAUGCGGAAUUCCAGGUGUAGCGGUGAAAUGCGUAGAUAUCAGGAGGAACACCGAUGGCGAAGGCAGGUCUCUGGGCCACUACUGACGCUGAGAAGCGAAAGCAUGGGGAGCGAACAGG